UGCAUAUCAAUAAGCGGAGGAAAAGAAACCAACAGGGAUUGCCCUAGUAACGGCGAGUGAAGCGGCAACAGCUCAAAUUUGAAAUCUGGCUCUCGGGCCCGAGUUGUAAUUUGUAGAGGAUGCUUUUGAUGCGGUGCCUUCCGAGUUCCCUGGAACGGGACGCCAUAGAGGGUGAGAGCCCCGUCUGGUUGGAUGCCAAAUCUCUGUAAAGCUCCUUCAACGAGUCGAGUAGUUUGGGAAUGCUGCUCUAAAUGGGAGGUAUAUGUCUUCUAAAGCUAAAUACCGGCCAGAGACCGAUAGCGCACAAGUAGAGUGAUCGAAAGAUGAAAAGCACUUUGAAAAGAGAGUUAAAAAGUACGUGAAAUUGUUGAAAGGGAAGCGUUUAUGACCAGACUUGGGCUUGGUUAAUCAUCUGGGGUUCUCCCCAGUGCACUUUUCCAGUCCAGGCCAGCAUCAGUUUUCCCCGGGGGAUAAAGGCGUCGGGAAUGUGGCUCUCUUCGGGGAGUGUUAUAGCCCGUCGUGUAAUACCCUGGGGGGGACUGAGGUUCGCGCAUCUGCAAGGAUGCUGGCGUAAUGGUCAUCAACGACCCGUCUUGAAACACGGACCAAGGAGUCGUCUUCGUAUGCGAGUGUUCGGGUGUCAAACCCCUACGCGUAAUGAAAGUGAACGCAGGUGAGAGCUUCGGCGCAUCAUCGACCGAUCCUGAUGUUCUCGGAUGGAUUUGAGUAAGAGCAUACGGGGCCGGACCCGAAAGAAGGUGAACUAUGCCUGUAUAGGGUGAAGCCAGAGGAAACUCUGGUGGAGGCUCGCAGCGGUUCUGACGUGCAAAUCGAUCGUCAAAUAUGGGCAUGGGGGCGAAAGACUAAUUGAACCUUCUAGUAGCUGGUUUCCGCCGAU
rnacentral:rRNA from 1 species